rnacentral:tRNA from 2 species
GGCGGAUGUAGCCAAGUGGAUCAAGGCAGUGGAUUUGUGAAUCCACCAUGCGCGAAAGA